rnacentral:lncRNA from 1 species
UGCAUCUCUCUUUAAGGUCUCUUAGUCUGGACACUCCAGUAAUGAGGUUUUUACCGACAUCCAGAAAGGAAGAAACCAUCAAGUAUUGCUGCGAAGGCAGAGCAAAUGGACAUGGGACAAGUUAGGAAAGAUGCGAGACACUGGAGUUUUAUCUAGAAGCCAGAAGUUCAUCACAACGUGAGCUUCAUCUGAAGACUGUUUUUCUGUCCUCAUAAAAUCUACAACUCUACACACCGCAUGCCAGAGGAGCCUCAAGUGACUUACACAGUCACUGCUUAAUAGAAAGAAACUGGGCCACAUUUCAGACAGACUAAGGCUGCUGACUGGCUAAUUUGGGCAAAGGGCUAGCUGUGGCCCAGCCACCCACCCAGGCUCGCAUCCCAGCCCUCAUUCCAAUUUUAAGAAUGAAAGGGACAAAUGGGAAUCAGAAAGAUGUCACUGGGCUGACACCUCUUUGCAAAUAUGAAUAUCAGUAGGGUCACUUCUCUCACUGUUAGUCCAGCUAACAGACAGUAAAUUCUCAAAGCUUAUCUAU